AUUCUAAUGUUAUUGUGAUUUUUCAUCAAAUGAAAUUGUACUUGCCUUUGCUGGUCACAUCCAAUCAGAAGUAAUACAGACUGCCUCAACUUCAUGUGGUUGCAAACCAGCAGUUAUGAUAAUGUUGUGAUUUGAUCUGUGUGUGACAGGGAGUGUGUUUUUAUUGUACAUAUUUUGGAACAAAAACCUACAAGGUAUUUAAUGUGAAAUUUGGGGAUGGUCAACUUUAAUCCAAAAUGACAAAAAAACAAUACGAUACAAUAGAAGUGGUUUGGCACAUCAGUGUGUGAAGUAGCCCCCUGACCGUUCUGUUCUUGUCUCCCCAAGUAGUAGUCCGCUUUUUUCAGCAUCCCCAGUGAGAAAUCUUGUUGUAAUGACUUGGUGGCGGUUGCGGGUGAUCACAGGCGCCCACAUUUAACCCUGAUGUGAUGUCAGAGAAAAAUGACCUUUCAUAUAAUUUUUUAUUUAAUAUGAUUUUUUAUUCCAUGUAUGGGUGUUUCCUCUGGUCGUCUGGAGACUUUUCCAUAAAUUCAUACAAAAAUGUAAUUAUAAUCGUUGGGCUCGCUCGAGGACUAGUUGCAGCACGUUGCUUAACAUUGGACGGUCACAGCCAUAAUGAAGGAUAAAGAUGGUAUUUAGGAUUUCGAGGAGGUUGUCGAUGAACCAUCUCUUUAUGGGAAAAAGAAAAACAGGAUACUGUCGGAAAACAGUUACCAAAAACCGUAAGACUUGGCCCAGCAAGGAGAAACUUAAAUCAUACCAAACGUUUCCUCACAGAUGCCUUAUUUCAAUAUAUUUAAAGCAUGCGUCCAUUCUAUACAGAAUAGUGAACAAAUUCAGGUAGGCUUCUCAUAGGUGUUUUAAUUAUAUUAGGUUUAAUUAUGCCUAAAAUAAUAAUAACUGAAUAUCAUUUGAUCUCUUCUGUAUUACCAAAAUUGGCCCGUCACAAAGUUGUAGCUCUGGACAAGUAACUGGAGUUACUGUUACUGGACAAGUAAAUUAAAAAAAGUGAAAUAUUUGCUUACAUCAGUGUAACAUUUUUAUCAUCGCUUCUGAAAGUUCUCCUCCACCCGGGUUCAGCCACAGCCAUGGACCGGUACCGCUUAACACUUUUAUAAGCAGUGUUUGUUCUACGCUAUUAAAGUAAGAAAUGAAGUGAAACAUCACCACCUUUUUAAAAAAAAUGUUAUUUCUUCAAAUGAUAUUUAUUGCCACACAUGGACUAGACAGAAAAACAAUGUGUGUUUUUUCCACUUUCUGUGGCUUUCCUUGACCAGAAUAUUGACUAGUUCAGUUCUCUUCUGGUCAUGAAAUGUUUUUUUUUUAAAUCACGGUUCAUCUUACAAACAACUUCAAAAGGCCCAAAAUGUUAUUUGUGUGGGGAAAAAAUAAUAAAUAAUUGAACAACUUGUCAGCAAACAGCUGUCUUCCAUAGAAAUGACCUUUGAGAAAAUAAAUAAAUGAUAAAGAGCUGAGGGAGUUUUUGAUUGAUAUGCAUGUCAGCGUGUGCUUAAGACAGAAAUGUUAAAAUAUUCCAACUUUCAUUUUAAGAUGUAAUGUCACAUCUCGGGCGAGGUGAAAGAUUGGCUCUGCCUCCCAGGCGAUGCGCUGGCUUCUGAUUGGUCAUUGGGCAGGACGACAAGGCACUCACUGGUCACGUGACUGAUUUUGUCUCAGGCGCUUGUGCGUGAGCCAAUCACAGAGGUCACGGGGUUAAGCCGGUUGGCAGCAGCAGCAAGUAGAGGCGAGCAGGCAGCGGUUGCUAGGCAACAGAGGAUAGACAGCAUAAGCAUGAUGUCACUUUGAAGUUCCAAAAUGUGAGAUCCCAAACUGGACAGGCUCGACAGCCACAAGUCCCUUCAAAUUUGGACAGUGGUCACCUGAGGGCGGAGCUUAGGCCUCGCUGGCACUGCUGUUCCUGCUGAGCUCUCGAAUCCCCUGAAGGAUUCUCUUCAUGUGACCCACCUUGGUCACCCCUAGGUCCUGAAAUUGUGUCAAACAAGCAUAGUCAGCAUCACGUGACACAUGGGCACAUGGCCUUGCGACGGCGUGGUCCGCCUACCUUCAGGUCCCUCCUCUCCAGGUGGACCAGCUCACUUCCUCGGACGUCGUGACCGAUAAAGAUGUCCUUAUACUCGGAGAGACAGAGAAAGUCGAGCCAGGCCCCCACCUCCUCUGUCCCCCACUGGUGAACUGAUGCCAAGAGGAAGUCAUCUUGUCAACCAUGAAUUUAAGGUCAGUGAGAAUCAACUUUGACUUUUAACUCUUCAGCGUUUAAACAUCUUCCAUUGGGGGCCACAUACCAAACAUUCAGAAUAUGUAAGAAUAUGAAAAUAAGAUGAGGCCAAGGCUGCAAAUGGCUCCCGGUGUGCUUUAACCAAUCAAAACGAAAGAAGGGAAGGGGCUCACCUGGCAGAGAGAGAGACCCACAAGUCUCCUUAUUUCUGUUGUUUUUGUCCUUUUUAAACUUCGGAACCAGGCGGAACUUUGCACUCCGACUGGGCUUGGCCAAGUCUGUCAGGGGACCCUGGACACAACCGCAGUGUUAACUGCACAAGCCCCUUUCUAAACCUCUCUUCUAGAACCUACUCCAGCAUGAAAACAGGUAAGUACCUCAUGGUCAGAUGGGUCGAUGACGACGCUCAACCACGAAAUGUCAACCAGUCGACGAAGCUGCUGAUCAACUGAACUCAAUGCAGAGUUCAGCUGGUCUUGCUGAGGUGGGUCCAAAACCUGCGUGCGCACACAGACACGUAUUAAGUGUUUCAAUGGCACCUUGUUGCAUGAUGUGGCCAUACCAUGGACAUCUUUCCAGCAAGGAGCAGCUCUGUUUCGCUGAGUAGUGCUUUGACGUCUUUGACCAUUCGGACCACAGCACCACAGCUUAGUGUCUACACACAGAAUAGCAUAUUAGAGUAUGUAAUACAAAAAAAUAUAUAUAGCUCUAUUAAUGUCAGAGAUCUGAGGUUUAAUCCAGAUGGCUUGUUUUUUUUUUUUAAAUACUGCUACUCCACAACUUCGAGGCAAUGGAGAACACUUAAAUUCUGUCUUCAGCUUGUCGUGGGUCCAAGUCACAGGUGCAGCAGUCAGUUGGGAAGGCCGCACUUCCCCAGGAUCCCCAGCGGGAAAACUGAGUGGGGGCAUCCGCAAUCUUGCACUUUCAGCCACGACCCACAGCUGGUGACCGUAGGAGAGGGUAGGAAUGUAGCACUGAUCAGAUCCUCCCUUGUGAGCAAGACCCGGAAAUACUUGAACUCCUCCACCUGAAGCAGGGCGGCACUCCCAGCCCCAAGGAUGCAAGCUACUCUCUCCCCAUUGAGAAACAUGGCCUCAGAUUUGGUGCUGAUUCCUGUCCUGGGUAAAUGCUGAAGGUCACAGUUGGAUGAUUCCAUCAGAAUCCCAUCUGCAGUUAUGGGAUGCAAAGGCCACCAAACCGGACACCCUCAACGUCUUACCGGCACCUACAAAUUCUGACCAUGUACAUAGUGAACAGAACCGUGGCGGCCGCCAAACACACUCCAUGAACAGCUUUGACUUAUUGUCGGCAAUGCCGACCAAGCUCCUGCCCUGAACUGGAAGAAACUGGCUGGCCCACAGCCCGGAACCCUGUAUUCCCGUUGAAUGGUUUUUCUGAGUGCACAAAACCUGUGGACUGUGUAAACUCCCCUCCAUUACCACGGCAAGGGUGUAGAGCUGCUUCAGCACUCCACGACCAGGAUGUAAACCACAUUGUACCUCUUGUUUCUGAGGUUCGAGUAAUGACUCUCGUUUUUCCCAACAUUCUGGCCUAGGCUUUCCCUGGGAGGUUGAGGAGUGUGCCUGUUUAUAAAUCCAACAGCUUUGCUAAAGUAAACACCAGCACUCACUAAUACAAACGUUCUGCUAUCAGCCAUGUUUGCCUCCGCUUCUCCAGCCCUGGCAGGCUACGCAGUACACAUACUGCUCUACUCUGCUACUGCACGUUGCUAACAAGUCUUUAGGCUGAGAGCAGGUUUUUAGUUAAAAGUGAGGUUUCAUACCCCAAUGCUUCCGGACUCAACAUAGACCAGGUCCAUGGACUUGGAACUGGCAUUGACAGCAUGAGCAAGUUCUUGUUCCAGACUGUGGUGACUUUGAGCAAGCUGACAGAUACUGAAAGACGAACAGAUUAGAGUGAGUGAAGAACGUUACAGGAGGAGAGAAGGAUGCUCCAAAAUCAUCACCUGCAGAUGAGGACUCCAGCAGCCCGAGCGAACUCUCUCACGAAUGACGCCUCUUCUUCAGAAACGAUUUCUGGAUGGCUGCUGAGAGGGGGCGGGGCCACAGGACAAGAGGGACCACGAGGAAACUCGCACUUCUGUUUGUCCUCCCAUGACUUCAAGGUGCUCUCGAACGCCUGCCACAAAACAUCCUGGUCACCUUUGAUAGCCCCUUGUGCCGCCCUGCGGGUGGGUGCCGUACUCACGCGGUCCCUGGUUAAAGUCUGGGUCCGGUUCUUGUGGAGGAUCUUGAUGUAACCCGGAGGUUGAAUCCAGGCCUCGCCAUCCACCUGCACAGGAACGCCCUCAUCCCCCAGGAUCGUGAUCUUGACUGUGCGACACUGACACACACGCACACAUCAGACGGGCAUUGGACUCGCAGUAUAUUACUCACACACAUACACACACCUGGGCAAUGCGGUGGUGUUGCAGGUUUAUGACUCUGGACACGGCCAUCUGCAUGCUGCCAAACACAGCCACUACUUCAAGAAUUUUGUCAUCAAAAGAUGGAGCAGUGAAAGUCUGUGAGAUCACACACACACACACACACACACACAAAAGUGAGCGCAAGUGAAAGGGAGAGACAGACAGGUGGAGGGUCUCACAUCGUCCUCUUUGGUUCCACCCCAGAAGUUUGUUCCUCCAGCAUAACUUGGAAUGUUCAACACAGCGAUACCCUGGAGGCUGGGCAGGGGGAUGGGCCGCCCGUCACACUGCACACACACACACACACACACACACGAGAUAAAGCCACAUGCAGCAAGUUCAAUUCCGAUGAGUGCUUAACGGUUCUGUCUGACCUCCAACAAAACUCUCUGCUCUAGGUUCUUGUACGUUCUGUGCAGCAACUCUUUGGUUCCUAGAACUCCGUACCACAUCAUGUUCUUUGUGCGACUCCUGUGCGCACACACACACACACACAUAAACACGCUGCAGUUACACAUGUUCUGCUGUGAAGGUUCCACUGGGCCUACCUGCACUUCUCAGGAUGUUCAUCUCUUUUGUUGUUGAAGUCCAGAGAAAUUUUGGCAUCCAGUCCAAUCCCAAAGUAGUUGUUCAUCACACACUUCUCAGUGUAGCACUCCCUGACACACACACACACACACACACACACACACACACACACAGCCAUGCUUUUUGUAAAUAGACCAAUGAUAGGUAAAGAUAAAGAUGGCAUCUUUUUAAAUUGCAUGAUCGCAGCUCACAAACACAAGGUAGCGUGAGUGACGCAAUCGUAUAGAAUCCCUUACAUGUUGUCAGGGUCACAUGAUGUGAAUGACUCAGCGUUGACGAGCAGUCGACUGAUGACGGAACCACUUGACAGAGAAGCUGACACACCUGCUCUGAGGGCUACACACACAUAUGCACACACACACACACACACACACACACACACAGGUUACGAGUUACAACAAAAAGGCCACAGCCAAGCACCUUACCAGGAUAGAGGAUCUUGGUGUUGAGCAUCGGCAUGUUGUCUCCUCUUCCUGUAGGGACAGGAAGUGAUGUGGAGCUGCCCAAUGACAGGCUGCCUUUACUCAUCAGCCUCUCGCAUGGUGUCUUACUGGCUGCAAACACACAAAUUGAGCUUUUUUUGUAACCCACACUUUGUAUUAGGCCUUCAGCGACAUGAAGCCAACAGUGGAAGUGGUCGAACAUGAUGACAAACGUCCUCCCAAUCAAAUGUGUGGAUAUUUGCUGGCAUGAGCUAAUGGCUAACCUCUGCGAGCGCUGCUGAGUUUGGCGCCGUAUGACUGCAGGGACAGCUUGUCUUCUUCGUCCUCGUCUUCCUCCACAAGCCCGUCCACUUUGACGGCGUCCAGCGAGAAGACGGGCUGCGUUUGUGCGUUCUGCUCAUCAACAGCUGGAGAACACACAGUAAGAAGAAGGCAGCGCAGAUAAUUAAAAAAAAAAAAGACGCUGCCUGGCAGGCGGGCAACUACCUUUCUCGGUGUGCUCGAUGAUCUGGCGGAUGGCUUUCUUCAGGCUGUUGGCGCGCAGCAUCAGUUGCUCUCUGGGUUUAAAGAUGGCUGCCGCAGAGGCGCCGGGUCGGGGGGAACAGGAGGUGGAGUCUGGUGACAAUUGGUUCUGAGGACGGAGGAGGGGGAGGACAAAGCCCUUGCCUUCUUCCUGCUCCUCGGUGAUGGUUGGGGGUGGAGCCGGCGGCAGUAGCGAAGACACGUGUGACUCGUCGCUGAGCGUUUUGAGCAGCAGGUCCAGUUUCUCCUUGAGAACCACACACUGGGACAGGAAAACAACACCUUCACUUGUAUUCUUGUUUCCUCUUACUAACAAUGCGUCCCUUCCCACAGUUCCAGGAAGGCAACAAAGUUCUACCAGAAACUCCUGAGAGCAAGUGGAAAACCUUUGGCAAGUGUUUUGGAACAUGAUGGGAAUUUACAUGACAUUGUCGUACCUUCUUUGCCAUGACGUCCGACUCUUCUGAGCUCUCUGUGUUUUUCUCAUAGGCUUUCCCGAUCCGGGCCACAAAGUCCUUGACUGUCUCGCACAGAACCCUUAUCACACACACACACACACACACACACACACAUCAGGACUGGCCAGCUGUGAGGAGACUAAAUCACAAAUGAUCGUACUUCGCAGAGGAAAUGACAACAGAGUGUUGGUCUGACGUCAGAAUUUUGGAAAGGUGAACAGCGACGGAAUCUUCAUAGGUGAGAAUCUGCUGCACCUGAACACACACACACACACACACACACACGUUACAAGAACUUCCUAGCCACACUUGGGCACCUUUUCCUGCACAGUUGCUUUUGUGCUACAAAAACACUUCAAGCGACUAGACAUAGCGACAGUCGUCCUUCGCCACUUUGCAGUUUGAACAAGGCUUCCUCACUCUGUUGCGGUUUUUGAGAAAUUAUUAAAUGAUUGCUGUUUCGUGGUUGACUACGAUCUCUUAUUAGUCAAAAUACAUUGAAAUGCAAGUCAUAUGUAGUAUUGCGGUCAGUAAUGCUGCACUGAUGAGACAUUACCUUACAUUAUAUUACAUUACCUUAACUUGCAACAUGGAGUAAACCAUAGAUGCAAAGUCAGACAAGAGUGUGGAAGAGUGUGGUACAUUUUUGACUUCUGACUAUGUCCUUCCUCCUCACUCCGUUUCAAACUCUUUCUUAAGUUUAGAAUAAUUUAAUCUGAAGGAAAAAUAGUUAGCUCGGAUGUUGCUAUGCAUAAACUCGUGUCUAGUGUCCCUUCAGAUAUCCCGUUGCAUAAUGUGAUGCAAAAAACAGAUUAGGAGUGUAAAUGUGACUUAUAGCAGUUUUAUGUCUGCAGUGCUCCAGUAAUGGUUAAAAAAUGAUUUAGAAGGUAAACAGAACUACCCACUCAUUAACAUUAAAUCCUAUUUCAAGGUAAUUCACUGACCAUGGUCAGGUCUGCAACCAAUUCACCGUGAUAAACAAGGGAUGCUAGUAGCUGCGAGUCGGUACAUUGGAUAAUGCAAAGGGUUGGUAGUGAGCGUGUGGUGUGCAGCGGUGACAGGAAGUGAUGCGUUACCUCAGAGUCCUCGCUGCAGUCCUCUGUGACCGUGGAGGUGGAGUGCUGCCGUGGGAAUUUGGUCUCAUAAACCAUGAUGCUCCACCUGUGGCGACAGCAAGACACCUGUCACACCUGACAACACCUGCGUAAAGUCACAUGACAUCACCUGUCUAACAUCUUGGUGCUGGCCCGCUCCAGUUUCUCCAGUAUUUGAGGUAGUUGGGUGUCGUCGUCGCAGGCGGACCCCCAUCCCAGAACCCGGGCCAGAUCGUUGCCGGUUCCCAGAGGGAGAACCCCCAGCUGACACUAGGACAGAAACAAAGUGAGGAAGUGAACAUUAAAUGUGCACCUGAGGCCAGGUUGUGCUUGUGGCGUGCACCUGCUUGUGCAGCAUGAGGGCGUCGAUUUCGGACAGAACCCAGCCCACGCUGCCAUCUCCUCCACAGACCAGGAUCCUGAAAGUGUCAAACUUCUGGAAGAGGCGCAGACUGAUAAAAAGGUUCUCGGGUUAGCGAGCCCGGUCUUGGGAAAGAUCCUGGUGUGAGGCUUCGGGUCUCACCCCAGGUGUGGUCCUCCGUUCAUCAAGUCAAAGACCUGGGCCGGGUUGAGCAGCUGCUUGAAGCGCCGCAGGAACUUCACGCCCUGGUUGUCUCCACUUUUGGAGUUGACGAAGACCAGCAGAGGACUGGUGCAGGAUGGGGGACACGACGCUUUCCAGAAACCUGCCGACAAGUUUGGAUUGAGGUCAGUAGGAGGGACAUCAUGUUGUCAUAGCGAUAAAAGGACAGUCACCAUCAGAGUCAAUGCUGUUGAGAGCCGUGGGCGGGAUGACGGACACUUUACACUG